AGAAAACUCAACGGAUCCGAGGAAUAUUUUAUUCUAUCUAUAUCUGCUUGAACCUCGACUUUCAAGAAAAUUUUUAAAAACAAGGCCUGCUGACACAGUUACGGGCGCCCUGCUAUGUGAGGAUCUGUGGGAAAGUGACUCUCCCUCCUUGGAUUAUUGGGUGACACACUAGCUACUUCAUACCUGGUGCCUGACCACUCUUGAAAAAGAUACAGCUGAAAACUCAGUCCAGGAGGAGAAGGACCUGUGAUAUUUGGCUUUCCCAGGAAACUCCUACAUUCCUUCUCAAGAUCAAAUCUAAAAACAGGUUUGUAGAAUAUUCACUCCAGCUCUAAGAGAUGGCAGAAGGUGCCAGGAGUCCAUUGCCAGGAACACACUUUCCUCAGUCUCGUAAAUGAAACUGCACAGAUGGCAAAGCUAAGCAAAGGGCAC
ensembl:lncRNA novel transcript